AUUUUAAUAUUAAAAAUGCCAAAAAUAUUUUGCUUAUUGUUUGACCUCCAAUCUUCAUCUCAUUUCUGAUUUCUCAUUGUUUGACUUUGACUUUCAAUGUCAUUUGGUCAACACACAUGGAUUGGUACAUUUUAUUUCACCUUAUGCACUUUAUUCUUUCCAUUUUCCUUUUCCAUUAUUCAUCUCUUUCUUCUUCUUCUUCUUUUUCUUUUUUGAUCAAUGAGUUGAAGGUUGAUAAGUUAGCAUUGAUUAGGGAGACUU
rnacentral:lncRNA from 1 species